rnacentral:tRNA from 1 species
GAGGAAAUAGCUCAGUGGCAGAGUGUGUGCAUAGCAUGCAUGAGGUCCUGGGUUCAAUCCCUGGUACCUCC